rnacentral:rRNA from 1 species
GGCCAGACUCCUACGGGAGGCAGCAGUGGGGAAUAUUGCACAAUGGGGGAAACCCUGAUGCAGCGACGCCGCGUGAGCGAUGAAGUAUUUCGGUAUGUAAAGCUCUAUCAGCAGGGAAGAAAAUGACGGUACCUGACUAAGAAGCCCCGGCUAACUACGUGCCAGCAGCCGCGGUAAUACGUAGGGGGCAAGCGUUAUCCGGAUUUACUGGGUGUAAAGGGAGCGUAGACGGUCCUGCAAGCCAGAUGUGAAAGCCCGGGGCUCAACCCCGGGACUGCUCUUGGAACUGCGUGGCUGGAGUGCAGGAGGGGCAGGCGGAAUUCCUGGUGUAGCGGUGGAAUGCGUAGAUAUCAGGAGGAACACCGGUGGCGAAGGCGGCCUGCUGGACUGCAACUGACGUUGAGGCCCGAAAGCGUGGGGAGCAAACAGGAUUAGAUACCCCGGUAA